CCUACGGGAGGCUGCAGUGAGGAAUAUUGGUCAAUGGACGCGAGUCUGAACCAGCCAAGUAGCGUGAAGGAUGACUGCUCUAUGAGUUGUAAACUUCUUUUAUAUGGGAAUAAAAUGUUCCACGUGUGUGUGUUUGUAUGUACCAUAUGAAUAAGGAUCGGCUAACUCCGUGCCAGCAGCCGCGGUAAUACGGAGGAUCCGAGCGUUAUCCGGAUUUAUUGGGUUUAAAGGGUGCGUAGGUGGUCUGUUAAGUCAGUGGUGAAAGUUUGCGGCUCAACUGUAGAAUUGCAGCUGAAACUGGUAGUCUUGAGUGCAGUAGCGGUAGGCGGAAUUCGUGGUGUAGCGGUGAAAUGCUUAGAUAUCACGAAGAACUCCGAUUGCGAAGGCAGUUCACUGGACUGCAACUGACGCUGAGGCUCGAAAGUGUGGGUAGCAAACAGGAUUAGAUACCCUAGUAGUC
rnacentral:rRNA from 1 species